UACGUAGGGGGCAAGCGUUGUCCGGAAUCAUUGGGCGUAAAGAGCGUGUAGGCGGCCCGAUAAGUCCGCUGUGAAAGUCCAGGGCUCAACCCUGGGAUGCCGGUGGAUACUGUCGGGCUUGAGUCCGGAAGAGGAGUGUGGAAUGCCCGGUGGAGCGGUGAAAUGCGUAGAGAUCGGGCGGAACACCAGCGGCGAAGGCGGCGACCUGGCCCUGACCUGACGCUGAGGCGCGAGAGCGUGGGGAGCGAACGGG
rnacentral:rRNA from 1 species